GGUAAUUUCAUGACUUACCAAUAGGCAACGUAACCACGACGUCGUAUGCACGUAAUGCCAUUACCAUCUCAUUACCAACUGGCAACGUCGGCAGUACGUCCUCCUAACGUAACAGGAUAACCAAGAACGUCCCAGAGAGAAGCGUCAGAAAAAACCCUUUAUUACACAGAAGUUCCUGAUUUUAACAUUUCUGAAGGGAGCUGCUGACAGAGAAAUACACAUCACAGAUUGUUUAUGUUCCUAGAUUCUUCCAUGCUGACGGCCGUGCACAAGAGUUAGAGCGUAUCUCCUGUCGAAGAACAUCUCUAGACAUUAUGAACCAUCUGUCUAAGACUGAAAAUCAUCAAUAAACCAAAAGUUUGGUUUAGCUCCAACCCCAAUUAAGCAGACCUGAGCAGCUGAUCAAGGAUCACCAGAAACUCUGCAGAAGGUUGGUCCUCCAUGCCCAGGACUGGACACCAGUGUUAUGCUGGUGAAAAAACCGCCAGGCUAAAGCAUUCAAAGUGGAAACUUCUGCUGUGGCUCAGUAAUCCAGGAUUGGGAUGGUGGAAGGAGCAGAAGAACCAGAAGAUCAGAGAUCAGGCAGAGAUCUACUGGUGCGCCUGAGGAAACAGAUCUACCUCAUGUCUUAGUUAAACCAAAGAUUCUCAUCACUCACCUCCAUGCCGUUCCGAACCUGUAAGACUUUUGUUCAUCUUUGAAACAUAAAUGUAUAUCUUUUUAAUGAAAUCUGAGAAAUUUCUGCCCCUCCAUUUCACAGUUUAUGCAACUACCACUUUCAUGCCUCAGAAAGGUAGUAAAUACAUCAUUAAAGUAAACCCAUGUGACUCCAGUUGUUUAACCUCAAUUUAUGAAGUGAUAUUAAUGUUUUGUGUGCACAAAAAACUUUGCAUUUUUAUUUACAAAAUAACAUGUUCACAAGAGCACCAUGAUGCAUCACUGUUGGGUUGGCGUGAGAGCUGACCAUCUCAUGGUGCUUUUGUGAAAAUGCUUUGGAGAUUUGUGAAUAAAGACAUACUAUUUUUGUUAUUGCUGUUUUUAUGCGUACACAUGGCAUCUGUUAAAAAUAUCUUCAUUUGUGUUCUGCACAAAAGGGUCUUAUGGGUUUGGAGCGACAUGAGGGUAAGUAAUUAAUGACAUAAUUUACAUUUUUGGGUGAAAUAUGUUCUAAUGUGGCUAUAAUUGGUCAUUGUUAUGUUUUAUAAACAUUUUCAAUAUUUUAAAGAUUUAUUGUUUUGAAAAAUGAUGUUUAUACAGUCUACUUUUGUUGGUAACACUUUACAAUAAGGUGUCAUUUGUUAACAUUAGUUAAUGUAUUAACUAACAUGAACAAACAAUGAACAAUGCAUUUAUUACACUAUUUAUUAAUCUUUGUUAAUGUUAGUUAAUGAAAAUACAGUUGUUCAUUGUUUAUUCAUGUUAGUUCACAGUGCAGUAAUGUUAACAAACACAACUUGUGAUUUUAAUAAUGCAUUAGUAAAUGCUGAAAUUAACAUUAACUAAGAUUAAUAAAUGCUGUAGAAGUAUUGUUCAUUCUUAGUUCAUGUUUACUAAUGUUGUUAACUAAUGAACCUUGUUGUAAAGUGUUACCCUUUUGUUAAUAUCAAUACCUCUGUGAUUAUGGUAUCUUUCCUUAAUUAUCUGAAAUGUCUGCUAGCAAAUAUUAUGCUAGCAUAUCUGUUUAUAAUGAUGCUGAGCACAGAACGUCCUGAAUGCUUUCAUUCAUAUUUCGCUGUAUAUCCUAUGUUUUUAUUAACAAUUUGGGUGCAUUUUACUGUUCGUAUUUGUGUGUUUUUCAAAAUAAAUGAACUGAAUUCAUUUUGAGUCUAUUCAUCAUUCACAGCAGUUGAAAAAGCCUUUAAAUUAGUUUGGGCAUAUGAGGACAUAAAUUAGGUUAAACUACUGCAUGUCCGCCCAUAGAAAAUAAAUAAUUAUAAACAAA